rnacentral:rRNA from 1 species
AGUGAACGCUGGCGGUAGGCCUAACACAUGCAAGUCGAACGGCAGCACAGGAGAGCUUGCUCCCUGGGUGGCGAGUGGCGGACGGGUGAGGAAUACAUCGGAAUCUACUUUUUCGUGGGGGAUAACGUAGGGAAACUUACGCUAAUACCGCAUACGACCUACGGGUGAAAGCAGGGGACCUUCGGGCCUUGCGCGAUUGAAUGAGCCGAUGUCGGAUUAGCUAGUUGGCGGGGUAAAGGCCCACCAAGGCGACGAUCCGUAGCUGGUCUGAGAGGAUGAUCAGCCACACUGGAACUGAGACACGGUCCAGACUCCUACGGGAGGCAGCAGUGGGGAAUAUUGGACAAUGGGCGCAAGCCUGAUCCAGCCAUACCGCGUGGGUGAAGAAGGCCUUCGGGUUGUAAAGCCCUUUUGUCGGGAAAGAAAUCCAGCUGGCUAAUACCCGGUUGGGAUGACGGUACCCAAAGAAUAAGCACCGGCUAACUUCGUGCCAGCCGCCGCAGUAA